UGCAAGUGAUGUUUUUUCUCACGAUGGUCUUCCAAACCCGUAGGGUUCUGACGACAGCGCCUUUUGGCAACACUGAUGUAGUCAU
ensembl:snoRNA